rnacentral:rRNA from 1 species
CAGCAGCCACGGUAAUACGGAGGGCGCGAGCGUUACCCGGAUUUACUGGGCGUAAAGGGCGUGUAGGCGGCUGGGGCGUCCCAUGUGAAAGGCCACGGCUCAACCGUGGAGGAGCGUGGGAUACGCUCAGGCUAGAGGGUGGGAGAGGGUGGUGGAAUUCCCGGAGUAGCGGUGAAAUGCGCAGAUACCGGGAGGAACGCCGAUGGCGAAGGCAGCCACCUGGUCCACUUCUGACGCUGAGGCGCGAAAGCGUGGGGAGCAAACAGGAUUAGAUACCCCUGUAGUCCCUGUCUCUUAUACA